rnacentral:rRNA from 1 species
AUACGUAGGUGGCGAGCGUUGUCCGGAUUUACUGGGCGUAAAGGGCGUGCAGGCGGUUCGUUAAGUUCGAGGUGAAAGCUCCCGGCUCAACUGGGAGAGGUCCCCGGAUACUGGCGGACUUGAGGGAGGAAGAGGAAAGUGGAAUUCCCGGUGUAGUGGUGAUAUGCGUAGAUAUCGGGAGGAACAUCAGUGGCGAAGGCGGCUUCCUGGACCAAUACUGACACUGAGGCGCGAAAGCGUGGGGAGCAAACAGGAUUAGAAACCCCGGUAGUCC